CAGUACCUGUGUAGCUCAUGACAGGUAGCAGUUUGGGACCAGCAUCUUCGUACUGAGAAGCACAACUUAUCUGUAUAAACUCUCUGAGCAAGCAGGCCUUCAGUCCAAUCAAGUCACGUUCACCCCGUUCCUGCUGGAAAAACAACCUGAUGUCCCCGGCAUGGCCUUCAAGUUGAGCUAUCACUGGCGUAGGAAGAAAUUAUAAAACUUUGACAGCAUUUUGCUCCACGACGGUCUGUGAAUUAUUAUCUAGCACUACGCACUCUCCUCCGUCCCUGCAAAUUGAUUUUUGGAUGAUUUGUUCCGGUUUUUCCAGCUGGGAGGAAUCAGCUCCUUCUACAAGCCCAGGCUGCUGCUGGCCAGCUGGCAGGGAGCAUCGCAGAGCAAGAGUGCCAGAUCCUUAACAGCUGUAUUACUGCUUAUCCAUCUGUAGCACAAACCAUAUGCCAAACCCCAAAAGAGUUCAUUUUUACAGGUAGGAAACAUCUGAUACAGAAAUGAAAGGAUUCACAAUUAGUCAUGGUGAGAGAAACGAAUUUCCUGACUUUUAACUUCGACACACCUCCUCAAUGCAGCAGCAUAUUGAGUCGAGCAAGCCCAUCCUUUCAUAUAAGACACAGU